rnacentral:tRNA from 1 species
GGUCGCAUAGCUCAGCUGGAUAGAGCAUCUGCCUUCUAAGCAGACGGUCGCAGGUUCGAAUCCUGCUGCGAUCACUA